rnacentral:rRNA from 1 species
UUGCUUCUUUGCCGGCGAGCGGCGGACGGGUGAGUAAUGUCUGGGGAUCUGCCCGAUGGAGGGGGAUAACUACUGGAAACGGUAGCUAAUACCGCAUAACGUCGCAAGACCAAAGUGGGGGACCUUCGGGCCUCACACCAUCGGAUGAACCCAGAUGGGAUUAGCUAGUAGGUGGGGUAAUGGCUCACCUAGGCGACGAUCCCUAGCUGGUCUGAGAGGAUGACCAGCCACACUGGAACUGAGACACGGUCCAGACUCCUACGGGAGGCAGCAGUGGGGAAUAUUGCACAAUGGGGGAAACCCUGAUGCAGCCAUGCCGCGUGUGUGAAGAAGGCCUUCGGGUUGUAAAGCACUUUCAGCGGGGAGGAAGGCGGUGGCGUUAAUAGCGCUAUCGAUUGACGUUACCCGCAGAAGAAGCACCGGCUAACUCCGUGCCAGCAGCCGCGGUAAUACGGAGGGUGCGAGCGUUAAUCGGAAUUACUGGGCGUAAAGCGUACGCAGGCGGUCUGUUAAGUCAGAUGUGAAAUCCCCGGGCUCAACCUGGGAACUGCAUUUGAAACUGGCAGGCUAGAGUCUCGUAGAGGGGGGUAGAAUUCCAGGUGUAGCGGUGAAAUGCGUAGAGAUCUGGAGGAAUACCGGUGGCGAAGGCGGCCCCCUGGACGAAGACUGACGCUCAGGUACGAAAGCGUGGGGAGCAAACAGGAUUAGAUACCCUGGUAGUCCACGCUGUAAACGAUGUCGAUUUGAAGGUUGUGGCCUUGAGCCGUGGCUUUCGGAGCUAACGCGUUAAAUCGACCGCCUGGGGAGUACGGCCGCAAGGUUAAAACUCAAAUGAAUUGACGGGGGCCCGCACAAGCGGUGGAGCAUGUGGUUUAAUUCGAUGCAACGCGAAGAACCUUACCUACUCUUGACAUCCAGAGAACGUGGCAGAGAUGCUUUGGUGCCUUCGGGAGCUCUGAGACAGGUGCUGCAUGGCUGUCGUCAGCUCGUGUUGUGAAAUGUUGGGUUAAGUCCCGCAACGAGCGCAACCCUUAUCCUUUGUUGCCAGCGAUUCGGUCGGGAACUCAAAGGAGACUGCCGGUGAUAAACCGGAGGAAGGUGGGGAUGACGUCAAGUCAUCAUGGCCCUUACGAGUAGGGCUACACACGUGCUACAAUGGCGCAUACAAAGAGAAGCGAUCUCGCGAGAGUCAGCGGACCUCAUAAAGUGCGUCGUAGUCCGGAUUGGAGUCUGCAACUCGACUCCAUGAAGUCGGAAUCGCUAGUAAUCGUGGAUCAGAAUGCCACGGUGAAUACGUUCCCGGGCCUUGUACACACC